UGCAUCAUUUUUUUCUUUUCAAUCACAAAUGGAAAAGAUUUUUUUUCUAAUUCAUUCUUUAAAAUGGUGCCAUAUUGAACAAUGAUCAUCAUCAUCAUCGUCAUCACAAGCAAUCAGACGAAUUAAAAGUACAAAAAAAAAAUUUCUUCCAGUAUACAAAACAAGAGAAAAAGUAGAAUGCACACACACACACUGCGAUAUCUUUGAUUGAUUGAUUGAUGAAUUCAAUGUCCAAUCAGUACAAACAAACUAACGAACGAACGAAAAAUGAAGAUUCAAAUUAACUAAUUAACUAUUAACUAUGACAAAACGUAUACUAUGUUCAAAAGACAAAUUCAAAGUACAAUACGCUCACUCAACAAAUGCACUCAAAUUGUUUUUGAAAAAAAAACAUUCAAAUCAUUCACACAUUAUUAUAAAUAGAAUCAUCAUCAAAUUAAUUUUAAUUUUAUAACAUUUUGGAUGAUACGAAGUUUACAAACGGGUGGUGGUGGUCCUCAUUCGGAUACCA